rfam:Parcubacteria bacterium GW2011_GWA2_47_7 TY04_C0011, whole genome shotgun sequence.
GCCGGAGUGGCGGAAUGGUAGACGCGCACGACUCAAAAUCGUGUUUCGAAAGAAGUGAGGGUUCAAGUCCCUCCUCCGGCA